rnacentral:rRNA from 1 species
CCCUACGUUUAGUUGCUAACGCGUGAAGGCGAGCACUCUAGACGAACUGCCGUUGACAAAACGGAGGAAGGUGGGGAUGACGUCAAAUCAUCAUGCCCUUAUGUUCUGGGCUACACACGUGCUACAAUGGCCGGUACAGACGGACGCAAAGCCGCGAGGUGGAGCAAAUCCUAAAAAGCCGGUCUCAGUUCGGAUUGCAGGCUGCAAUUCGCCUGCAUGAAGUCGGAAUCGCUAGUAAUCGCAGGUCAGCAUACUGCGGUGAAUACGUUCCCGGGCCUU